rnacentral:rRNA from 1 species
UACGUAGGGGGCAAGCGUUGUCCGGAUUUAUUGGGCGUAAAGAGCGUGUAGGCGGCCAUACAGGUCAGCUGUGAAAACUCGAGGCUCAACCUCGAGACGUCGGUUGAAACCGUAUGGCUAGAGUCCGGAAGAGGAGAGUGGAAUUCCCGGUGUAGCGGUGAAAUGCGCAGAUAUCGGGAAAGAACACCCCGUGGCGAAGGCGGCUCUCUGGGACGGUACUGACGCUGAGACGCGAAAAGCGUGGGGGGAGCGAAAC